CCUACGGGGGGCAGCAGUAGGGAAUAUUGCUCAAUGGGGGAAACCCUGAAGCAGCAACGCCGCGUGGAGGAUGAAGGUUUUCGGAUUGUAAACUCCUUUUGUUAGAGAAGAUAAUGACGGUAGCUAACGGAUAAGCACCGGCAAACUCCGUGCCAGCAGCCGCGGUAAUACGGAGGGUGCAAGCGUUACUCGGAUUCACUGGGCGUAAAGAGCGGGUAGGCGGUAGAGGAAGUCAGAGGUGAAAUGCUAUGGCUUAACCAUAGAACUGCAUUUGAAACUGUUAUUCUAGAGUAUGGUAGAGGUAGGGGGAAUUCUGGGGGUAGGGGUAAAAUCGGUAGAGAGCAAGAGGAAUAC
rnacentral:rRNA from 1 species